GCGUCGAUGGUGUAAUGGUUCAUCACGCGCCCUGGAUAGGGUGAAAUAUGGGUUCGAAUCCCAACUGAGACA